rnacentral:rRNA from 1 species
GACGAACGCUGGCGGCGUGCCUAAUACAUGCAAGUAGAACGCACAGUUUAUACCGUAGCUUGCUACACCAUAGACUGUGAGUUGCGAACGGGUGAGUAACGCGUAGGUAACCUGCCUGGUAGCGGGGGAUAACUAUUGGAAACGAUAGCUAAUACCGCAUAAUAUUGAUUAUUGCAUGAUAAUUAAUUGAAAGGUGCAAUUGCACCACUACCAGAUGGACCUGCGUUGUAUUAGCUAGUAGGUGAGGUAACGGCUCACCUAGGCGACGAUACAUAGCCGACCUGAGAGGGUGAUCGACCACACUGGGACUGAGACACGGCCCAGACUCCUACGGGAGGCAGCAGUAGGGAAUCUUCGGCAAUGGACGAAAGUCUGACCGAGCAACGCCGCGUGAGUGAAGAAGGUUUUCGGAUCGUAAAGCUCUGUUGUAAGAGAAGAACGGGUGUGAGAGUGGAAAGUUCACACUGUGACGGUAUCUUACCAGAAAGAGACGGCUAACUACGUG